CUGGGAGGACCAUCUCCUAAGGCUAAAUACUCUCUAGUGACCGAUAGUGAACCAGUACCGUGAGGGAAAGGUGAAAAGCACCCCGGAAGGGGAGUGAAAUAGAACCUGAAACCGUGUGCUUACAAGUAGUCAGAGCCCGUUAAUGGGUGAUGGCGUGCCUUUUGUAGAAUGAACCGGCGAGUUACGAUUUGAUGCAAGGUUAAGCAGUAAAUGUGGAGCCGUAGCGAAAGCGAGUCUGAAUAGGGCGUUUAGUAUUUGGUCGUAGACCCGAAACCAGGUGAUCUACCCUUGGUCAGGUUGAAGUUCAGGUAACACUGAAUGGAGGACCGAACCGACUUACGUUGAAAAGUGAGCGGAUGAACUGAGGGUAGCGGAGAAAUUCCAAUCGAACCUGGAGAUAGCUGGUUCUCUCCGAAAUAGCUUUAGGGCUAGCCUCAAGUGAUGAUUAUUGGAGGUAGAGCACUGUUUGGACGAGGGGCCCCUCUCGGGUUACCGAAUUCAGACAAACUCCGAAUGCCAAUUAAUUUAACUUGGGAGUCAGAACAUGGGUGAUAAGGUCCGUGUUCGAAAGGGAAACAGCCCAGACCACCAGCUAAGGUCCCAAAAUAUAUGUUAAGUGGAAAAGGAUGUGGCGUUGCCCAGACAACUAGGAUGUUGGCUUAGAAGCAGCCAUCAUUUAAAGAGUGCGUAAUAGCUCACUAGUCGAGUGACACUGCGCCGAAAAUGUACCGGGGCUAAACAUAUUACCGAAGCUGUGGAUUGUCCUUUGGACAAUGGUAGGAGAGCGUUCUAAGG
rnacentral:rRNA from 1 species